AUGAGCACAGUGUUAUAUAUUUAAGGUUGUUAAUCUCAAUUACGGGAAGAAGGAUAUGAAUCCAAUAGACUUCGUCAACUUCUACUCCAAGGAAGAACCGGAUAAGGCAGAACCAAGACAAAAAGAAGAUGUAUCACUGUUACUGCCGAGGGACUUUGCAGAACAAGUGGUGCGCGUCUACUGCAAAGACCCAGACCCGAAGUUCUGCAAAAACGUAAAAGAAAGGUUCGAUAAUUGGUCGAAGAAUACAAUGAGACGUACAAAGAAACAGAAAACGUCCGAGUGAUUGGAGGUCGAAAGUGUGGCUAAUCAGAACCAAGUCAGUGAUUGGAGAAUGAAAUAGAGGCUAAUCAGAGCCAACAUAGUGAUUAAUUGAUCAGAACCCCAAGCAAAUCCUGAUACUCUUUACAAAAACGGAACUGGAUGCGAAAUCUUCAUACUUAUAAUCAAAUGACACGUUUAAUAUUCAUGUAUUUAUUGUUGUAUUUCUUGUACUGAGUUAUUCUAACAUAGUUCAAACCAGGUGUAUGUAGUGUUGUCUUAUUUAUUUGUUGAAUCACCAAACUGUAAUUUUAAAAUCGUUUUUACAAAUUUUGGUACUUUUCACAUUAAAGUCUUAAAAGUUAAAAUUGGUUGAAAUAAUAGAAUAUAUUUGAAUAAUUUGAACAAAUACAACUGGACUGUGUAGCUUUCUUCGAAUUUAAAUUCAAAGUCAAGCAAUGUAGAAGAAAGUUGAAAAAUCUAUUAGCAGAAGACAUGUUUCCUUUUUUUUCAAUAUAUAAAACUUGAAGCUAGAAUUUUAUGUUUAGAUUAUUGCAACAUUUUUUAUGAAAUAGUUUUCCCAGAAGUAUAAGUCAUAUUUAAUGAUACCAUAUACCGUUUUGUUUUGUUUAUAACCUAGAAGUGUUACACAUAAUUCAGUUUUAGUUUUUAUCGGAAGAUUAUUGAAAGUUAUAUCUAAAAUAGACGAUGAAGUACAUAUGCUGAACUGUCGACGUCUGUAUUACUGUCCACGUCCUUAUAUUCGUUCUUUUUGUUUUAAUUUGUUUUAUGGUUGUUUUUAACUCAUUGAACUAGUUUUAUGUGUAGUUUGUAGCUUUACAGUAUUGUUGUUGAUCAUAUCAAACAUUUACACCCUGAGGAGGAAUUAUGAUAUUCAUGCAUUUGUGAUGUGAUAACUAAAUUUCUUUAUUGACUGUUUUUGCAUGUUGUUUAAGAAAUGAUAUAUCCAAAACAGUGCUUUGUUGUUGAGUAAAAUCACUGUUUGGAGUUCAGAUGCGAAGAAUUAUACUCACGAGGGUGCAGACAUAAUAACAUAAUAAUACGCAUCUGAACGGCAAAUAACGAUUUUGUUAAAGAACAAAUCAGUAUUUGGGGUAUAUUAUUUCGAUUCUAACACGGCAUGAAGGAUUAUUAUCUAUAUCCUUGACGACACCCGCCAAAUAUUUGCCUGUUUUAUAGGGUUUUCUUUUCCACUGGUAUACAAACAGUGAAGUUGUUGCACAAUAACUCACAGUUUCGGUCUUCUUUAUUUAAAAGAAAACAAAAUGAGUCUCAUUUUAAACCAACUCUUAUUUAAUUUAUUAUAGUUUCAUAACUUAAAGCUGCAGUCCAUAAUGACAAUCUCUACGUAUGCGACCUCGGCAUUUUCCGGUUUUUACGCAAAGCUAUGUGUGUCCGAAGAUUGCCGAAUUGCCAAACGAUAAUACAUAAACAUACGAACUGUCAUUACGGGUCAACUGCCUGAUAUAUAUUCUGUAUCCUUCAAUUCACAUACUAUAUGGAUAGCCUUUGUUAAGCCUGCAGUAAGUUAUUUCUUUACUAAUGAUUUUCUUAUAAAAGAUCAUCUCUUGUUUAACCUAUUAGAUUUUCCAUACGUAAGUCUGUUUUAACUUUUUACAUUUCAUGCGAUAUAUAACGCAGCAUUUACGUAAGUUUUUAUAACAGUAUUUUCAGACAUAAAUUGGACCUAUUUUUUUUU